AAAAAUAGGACGUGGAUAUAUGAUCAGUAGAGAAGGCCUUCCUGGCCUUGAACUUAACCACGGUGUAGCCAUGUUGUAGCCAGUGAGAUUGCAAGUUGAUCGAACGCUUCAGGUCAUGUUUAUCAUCCGUUUUCACGGACUUUCGCACCCAACACAGGCUCUCUUCCCAAAUGCUGACACCGUCGACACCAAUGGAGUGGCCAUGAAACACAAACCAAGAGGCUGACUCACCUCAUUGUUGUUCUCUUCCCUCAACUGAGCACCGCGGGCGGUGUUCAGCCACUCCCCGUCUUUCCAUCUUUCCCUGCCUGGGUUGUUGCUCGUGCUUGUGUCCCGCCUCCCGAGUCGCAGUUAGUUGAAUGCGUCGUCCUCCAAACGCCGGGCAACCAUUUGUCAAUAUACAUGCGCUGUACUCCGGCUGUCACUUUUCUACCACAGUUCAGUUUCGAAGUUGAAGUUUUGCUCAAGUUAACACAAGAAGAGGUUUCUUCCUCUACCUCGGAACCAAUUUGAAGUCACAAGCCAUGCUCCUGCCCUCAUCUUCACUCCUCAUCCUUGGCCUCCUUACGUUGCAUCCCAGUGCAUCACGGGCUGCUAAAAUCAUUGUGGUCCCACCAACCCUGUUUGAAUCACAUAUGUACAUCUUCAAGACAUUGGCCACCUCUCUGCACCGGGCUGGGCAUGAAACCCAUUUCCUCGUUUCAGAGGGUCGUGAGGUACUCCCUUCCCCUCACUACAAACUACAGCGCUAUCCAGGUGUUUUCAACAGCAGCACAGCUGAGAGUUUCCUGCAGUCUAAAGUCAGCAACAUCUUUUCAGGCCGCCUUACAUUUCUUGAGCUUUUUGACAUUCUUGAACACUACAGUCAAAAUUGUGAUGCUAUCGUAGGCAAUACGGAUGUUAUGGCUCGCCUCAAAGGGCAAAAGUUUGACCUGUUGCUGGUGGACCCCAAUGAAAUGUGCGGAUUUGUACUUGCACAUAUUCUGGGUUUGAAAUAUGCUGUGUUCAGCACAGGUUUGUGGUACCCUACGGAGGUGGGUGCCCCGACCCCGCUCUCGUACGUACCCGUUUUCAACUCACUCCUGACUGACCGCAUGUCACUGUUCCAAAGGAUUUCCAACACUGCUGUCUACCUCGUGGAGAAUUUUGGAGUCCAUUUUAUUCUGAUCCCCAAGUACGACCGUAUCAUGAGAAAAUAUGGAAUAAAGCCGCAAGUGGCUAUGACUGAACUGGUGCGAGGCAGCCAAAUGUGGAUGCUGUGCACAGAUUUGGCACUGGAGUUCCCCAGGCCCACCCUACCGCAUGUGGUGUACAUCGGAGGGAUCCUCACCAGACCAGCAAAUCCUCUGCCACAGGACUUUGAGCAAUGGGUUAAUGAUACAACGGAGAACGGCUUUGUUGUGGUGUCCUUUGGCGCUGGGGUUAAGUAUCUUUCCAAUGACAUUGCACACAAACUGGCUGGAGCACUUGCCAGGCUACCCCAGGAAGUCAUCUGGAGGUUUUCUGGUAUCCCACCAAGCAACAUUGGAAACAACACCAAGCUUGUUGAUUGGAUGCCUCAAAAUGACCUACUGGGCCACCCCAACAUAAGGGCUUUCUUGAGUCACGGUGGGCUUAACAGUAUCUUUGAGGCCAUGUACCAUGGGGUGCCAGUAGUGGGUGUGCCCCUGUUUGGAGACCACUAUGACACAAUGACCCGUGUGACUGCCAAAGGUAUGGGCAUUAUGUUGCACUGGAAAAGCAUGAGCGAAGAUGACCUUUACAGUGCUCUCGUCACUGUCAUAAAUGACACAAGGUACCGACAGCGGGCUAUCCUUCUCUCUACUAUCCACAAAGACCAGCCAGACCACCCAGUGGCCCGAGCCGUCUACUGGAUCAACUACACCCUCCGUCACAAUGGCACAGACCACUUGCGCUCUGCUGUAUAUGAUAUAUCCCUCUACCAGUACUUCUUGCUGGAUGUCAUUUUCACUGUAGGGGCGGCCUUGCUUGUCUUUGGCUUUGCCUUGCGACAUUUAGGACAGUUACUGAGGGCAAAGUUUGGUGGCAAGAGCCAAGUAGGGAGCGUUUCCAGGGAGGAGGGCAACAUGGUCAAUGGACACUGCCACUCCAUGUCCAACGGUAAACACAAAUGCAAUGGCUCCUUCAACAACGAGAAAAAGGUGAAUUAAUACUGUCACAUAUCCCAGGGGGAUAAGGAGGCAGUUGCCCAAGUGGUUUGGGUUGUGUUUUUAUAAAAAGGUUGGGGAAGGUACGCCGCAAGAGACAACUGCCCCUUGGAAUACGAAUAUGAAGUGUGUUUGUGAGCGUAUGUGUAGAGGUGUGUCCACUGAUGACAAUUUAAAGUCUGAUAACAGAAACUGCUACGGCACAUUACGAAUUGGAACACCAAGGAUGAAACACGUCUCUCCAUCACAUCUUCCUGACCAUUUAAGAGGGCAAAAGGCACUGCUGGGCUGCUUCAAGCUGAGGCGAUGUCUGAAGAAAAAAACAACGUGAUGACAUCAGGCUAUGGGAAACCAUUGUACAUCCAUACCGGCACAAGAGAAGACUUCUGGACAGCAUUACUUUGCCCCAUGUGACACAGGCACUGAAUGACAGUUUAGAGCAUCUGAUACACACACAAAAAAAAAAAAGCUUUGACCUGGGUUUUCUCCGGGCACUCCGGUUUCCUCCAACAUUCCAAAAAUAUGCAACACAAAUUGGAGAUGCCUGUGUGGAGUUUGCAUGUUCUCCCCGUGCCUGCGUGGGUUUUCUCCAGGGACUCCGGUUUCCUCCAAAAUCCCCAGAACAUGCAACAUUAAUUAGACACUAAAAAUUGCCCCUAGGUGUGAUUGUGAGUACGGCUGUUUGUCUCGAUGUGCCCUGCGAUUGGCUGGCAACCAGUUUAGGGCGUACCCUGCAUCCUGCCCGUUGACAGCUAGGACAGGCUCCAGCAUUGCCCGCGACCCUCGUGAGGAUAAGUGGAAAAGAAAAUGGAUGGAUCGAUUUAUAUGUAUGUGUGUAUCUUCACAGUAUCUCAUUGGACAUUUCACAAGCUGUAGCUUGUUGACAGGUUAAAAUGAAAUAAAUAUCAGACUAGUUUUCAAUUUUGUAUAAUUUUUUUUGUAGCGCCUCCAGAUGAUUAUUUUUAAAAUGUGACACAAACCACAUGUCCGCAAGAUCCAAAGAGAUUUAUUGAGAAAUGAUCCAAAAGAGGAACACAGUAUGUCUUUUAUUUUCCAUCAACAUGAUUGAAAAUUUGCUGGUGUCCGUUGAGCAAACAUCUUAGGUAGCACACACAAACCUACAUUUUUUUGUGGUUCCAAGAUUUUAAUUAAUAACAGUUUAAAAAUCACAUUGAUUACACCAUAAAAAUACAAUUUUCUCACGACGCAUUUUUUAGAUCCAGAAUUGCAUUCUCUUGAGAAGAGAAUGAAUGAAUUUGAACCAAUUGUAUGUUCAAGUUUUCUUGUCGUCCUUUCUCCUGUGAGCUGCAAUGACACAAACCUGUACCUCCCACGAAGAUACUUUAAAUAUUUUCAUCAGUAAUACAUUCAGCUGUCAGUUUUGUGGGACAUCGGGUGCUGCCUUAGCUAUGAACGGUGUCAGGAGGGACAUAUAAGCAAAUGUAUUAUGGUGCAAUGUUAUUGUUUUUUUUUUUCAGUGUUAAACUUGUAAUGGAUCACCUAUCUUAUUUUUAAAUUCUCAUUUCUGUAGGCUAAACAUUUGUUCCAUUUUAUUUUAUUAUAUGAUGGAGUUGUGAAUUCCAGUGUUUUCUCUGUAGCCUUUUGUAUCUCUUACCAACAUUUCACACUAUAUAUUGGAACCUAAACUGUUUCACUGCAAUUUCAAUUUUGCUUCCCAUGUGUUUUAACUACAACAAUGUAAACAAAAAUACGAUAAUUGAAUAAAACUCUU